rnacentral:rRNA from 1 species
UACGUAGGGUGCAAGCGUUGUUCGGAAUUAUUGGGCGUAAAGCGAACGUAGGCGGGUCGGUAAGUCAAGUGUGAAAGCCCUGAGCUCAACUCGGGAAUUGCACUCGAUACUGCCAAUCUUGAAUGCUUGAGAGGGUGGUGGAAUUCCAGGUGUAGAAGUGAAAUUCGUAGAUAUCUGGAGGAACAUCCGAGGCGAAGGCGGCCACCUGGCAAGACAUUGACGCUGAGGUUCGAAAGCGUGGGGAUCAAACAGG